CCAGCUGAGGCUCUGCUGUGGAGCACAGAACUCGAGCAGCAGCUUCCCUGCAAAGAAGACUCCUCCUGGGGGCUGUUUUCAGAGGCCACAGCCUUGCUGCAAACUGGGCUGGAUCAGCAGGAGCCCAGGCUGGCCACUUAUCACCAAAUCAGAGUCACAGAGCUGCAGAAUCAGAAUGAUUUCAGUUGGAAAAGGCCUCUGAGGUCAUCAAAUGCAACUGCUGUAGGUCUCCAGGGAGGGACUCUGCAGCAUCCCAGCCCUCAGACAAGCCCAGGAAGCUGGAGCAGCACUGGAAUGGGAAGCUUGGAGUUUUACAGCAGGGCGUGGGCAGUUUCUGCCUUGCCUUUAAUAGGUGUCCGUGGGCAGGUUCCUCUUGCAGCUUCGCCCUCCUGCUUUAAAGAGCCAUAAUGAACCUGACCGUCAGGAGAGGCUCCUGCUCCCAGCUGCAGCUGGCACAGGAUGGUCCAGCGAGCUGCCCUGAUGCCUUCUGCCUCUCAGCCCUCCCUCGGGACCUCUUCUCCUCACAGCAAUUUCAUUAUGCUUAAAAGCUGCAAUGUUCCUGCAGCCCUGCUGAGCUGCAACAUGAGCUGCCUGCUGAGCUCCUCCUGUGCCUGCCUAGGAGCCAAAGCUGAGCUCCUCCAGUGCCUGCCUAGGAGCCAAAGCUGAGCUCCUCCAGUGCCUGCCUAGGAGCCAAAGCUGAGCUCCUCCAGUGCCUGCCUAGGAGCCAAAGCUGAGCUCCUCCAGUGCCUGCCUAGGAGCCAAAGCUGAGCUCCUCCUGUGCCUGCCUAGGAGCCAAAGCUGAGCUCCUCCAGUCCCUAAAGGACCCCCUUAGAAAUAAAGCUGAGCUCCUCCAAUGCCUGCUUUAGAACUAAAGCUGAGCUCCUCCAGUGCCUAAAGGACCCCCUUAGAACUAAAGCUGAGCUCCUCCAGUGCCUA